rnacentral:rRNA from 1 species
UAGGGAAUCUUCCGCAAUGGGCGAAAGCCUGACGGAGCAACGCCGCGUGAGUGAUGAAGGUCUUCGGAUCGUAAAACUCUGUUAUUAGGGAAGAACAAAUGUGUAAGUAACUAUGCACGUCUUGACGGUACCUAAUCAGAAAGCCACGGCUAACUACGUGCCAGCAGCCGCCGUAAUACGUAGGUGGCAAGCGUUAUCCGGAAUUAUUGGGCGUAAAGCGCGCGUAGGCGGUUUUUUAAGUCUGAUGUGAAAGCCCACGGCUCAACCGUGGAGGGUCAUUGGAAACUGGAAAACUUGAGUGCAGAAGAGGAAAGUGGAAUUCCAUGUGUAGCGGUGAAAUGCGCAGAGAUAUGGAGGAACACCAGUGGCGAAGGCGACUUUCUGGUCUGUAACUGACGCUGAUGUGCGAAAGCGUGGGAAUCAAACAGG